AAGAACAUAGAGAAGCGGAGGAUCAGCGCCAAACAAACGAAUCUUCUUCGCUUUGAUCUCCUCCUCAUCGCCGAACCAGAAGUGCUUCAGGAAGUUCAUGUGCCUCGGUAUACGGUGCCACCAUGUAAAGAUUUCAUUCAAGUAACCUUGGUCUCCACCAUUGUAGGAUUCUAUCUCGUUGAUAUGUUCCAUUAACAGCUGAAACGUGCAGUUGGAAGGCUCGACAACCAUCACGCCCGAGUUGAAGAACGUCACGUUGUUUCCUGUGGCGGUGAUCUCAGGCAUAGUGAACAAGAAAUCAAUGUUUCGUAGGAUGAGAAGGUCUGCGUCGAUGAAUAUGAUCUUGUCAUACUCCGUGAGCUGCCAAAGCCUGAAUUUGCUGUAGUUCCACUCGUUGUAAGCGUCACGCUCGGCCUUGGGAUUUCGGAUCCUUGUGAUAGUUUUGAUCUUCCAUCCUGCAGCUUCGAGACCGCCUCUGUGGUGAUCACUGACUGUUUCAUCAACGAGGAUCACUAGGUCUCUCUUUGAUCCUGCU
rnacentral:lncRNA from 1 species